rnacentral:rRNA from 1 species
GACGAACGCUGGCGGCGUGCCUAAUACAUGCAAGUCGAACGCAGUGGGGACGGGUGAGUAACACCUGGGUAACCUCCCAUCAGAGGGGAUAACACUUGGAAACAGGUGCUAAACCGAUACUGAUGGAUGGACUCGCGGGGCAUUAGCCAGUGGGGUGGGUAACGGCUCACCAAGGCCACGAUGCAUAGCCGACCUGAGAGGCUGAUCGGCCACACUGGGACUGAGACACGGCCCAGACUCCUACGGGAGGCAGCAGUAGGGAAUCUUCGGCAAUGGACGAAAGUCUGACCGAGCAACGCCGCGUGAGUGAAGAAGGUUUUCGGAUCGUAAAACUCUUUUGUUAGAGAGGCGGUAUCUAACCAGAAAGCAACGGCUAACUACGUGCCAGCCGCCGCGGUAAUAC